CUGUCUUUCCUUGUGUUUGACUUAAUACCCUGCAUUUGUUUCCCUUUCCUGCGAAUACCCGACAGAACCGUGCCUGUAAAAAGGCAAAUAUGACCGUGACCUUCAGCCCAAUUCUGGAGUAGCGUGGAGAUGAGAGGGCAGCGAACACUCCAUCGUAUGAUGUAGGAUUCAUAUUUGAAUGACCGCAAGCUUCCCAUUUCCUAAGGCACUGAAGGGGCCUCAAACCAUAACAUUUCAGAGCUGGUCUGCUCUUUGUCUGCGUAUUCACACACACACAAACCGUUGUUUGUGGACAGCAAAGACUCUUCUCCUGGCAUGCUUUGCAUACAGGUCCAAUUUUCUGACUGCAGAAGCAACUCGGUUACCUGCAGAUUUCUUCCUGACAUUUGUGUUCCUUCAGUUUUCUAUUUGAAUUUUCUGGGCCUGGCAGUCCUGCACAGUUUGGGAGUCACUUUGAACUCUCUGCCACUUGUACAUAAUUUUCCUUGCAGUCUAAUGAUUUAUU